UACGUAGGGGGCUAGCGUUGUCCGGAUUUAUUGGGCGUAAAGAGCGUGUAGGCGGCCAGGUAGGUCUGGUGUGAAAACUCGAGGCUUAACCUCGAGAUGUCAUCGGAAACCAUCUGGCUAGAAGUCCGGAAGAGGAGAGUGGAAUUCCUGGUGUAGCGGUGAAAUGCGCAGAUAUCAGGAAGAACACCAAUGGCGGAAAGCAGCUCUCUGGGACGGUACUGACGCUGAGACGCGAAAGCGU
rnacentral:rRNA from 1 species